rnacentral:tRNA from 1 species
UAAAUAUUAAUAAAAAAUAAAUAAUUAAGUUAAUGAGCUUGAAUAAGCAUAU